rnacentral:rRNA from 1 species
UACGAAGGGGCUAGCGUUGCUCGGAAUCACUGGGCGUAAAGGGUGCGUAGGCGGGUCUUUAAGUCAGGGUGAAUCCUGGAGCUCAACUCCAGAACUGCCUUUGAUACUGAAGAUCUUGAGUUCGGGAGAGGUGAGUGGAACUGCGAGUGUAGAGGUGAAAUUCGUAGAUAUUCGCAAGAACACCAGUGGCGAAGGCGGCUCACUGGCCCGAUACUGACGCUGAGGCACGAAAGCGUGGGGA